rnacentral:sRNA from 1 species
AACUAAACCCGACAGCAGCGGACACCGAACGUAGAGCGGUAAAGCGAAUGGCGGGGCUUUCG